GUGCUGUGAGCCAUCUUGUGGAGAGCUCCAUGUGGAAAGGAACCGAGGCCUCCCACCCGCAACCAGCACCAACAUGCCAACAAUAAAUAUCCUCUCUGCUCACCUGAUGGACCAUUCCCCUUGAAGUGAGCCUCUGGAGAGGAGUUGACUCCAUUGUGCACCCCCAAUCAAGAUGAGAAAAGUGAGGCCACAGAGGAGGGUCUGAAUUAGAAGCCUGAUUGCCUGCCUGCCGGCUCAGCCCUUUUCCAGCUGCAUUAGGUUGACAUGACAGAACCCCCCACCCCUGCCGACACCACCACACCCUGACAUAGGUAGCACAUCUGCCUGACCUAAAAUUCAGAGGGAUUUCAGAGAAUACAUGGAAAAAAUAUAGCUACUCCCAACACCAUGCUCCGCGACUCCAGUUCCUCGUCCCAAAAGCAAGCACGGUGGCCACUUUGGGAACUUCCUUCCAGAGAUGUUUUAUGGGAAGACAAGCAAAUAUCCAGGUGCACUCUUAUUACACAUGUUGUUCUGCACCCUGCUUUUCUCACAUACUACGAUCAAUAUCUUGAAGGCCCGUACACAUUGGCACAUGGAUAGCUGCCUGGAUCUUUUUAACAGCAGAAGACUAUUCCACAAUCAUUGGGCACGAACGCUAUUUCUGGGUUUUGGUUCUCACCAAAAAU